UAAUUCAAGACAGUUGCAACAGAGGGCAGAAUUGUAUAAGAAAUUUAAACGUCUUUUAUUUCUUGCCUGAAAAUCACUCCCAAAUACAAAUGACAACAAUAUAUGGAUUGAGCUAGAGAAAUACUCUUUUUUGACUCUCUGGUUUUCAAAAUUUACAUAUGAGGAUUAGUUAAAGGCCUUGACUUUCAUUUUUCAUGUGGUAGUUUAAGAUACUUGGUAAUAUAUGUAAACCUUAAUAAAAGCAAAGUGCUGAUCCUUUGAGAGAGAAACAGUGAAAUAUAGAAAAUGUAUUUACUAUUUAACUUGUAUCAAGAUUAAGUGGUAAGCACUCUUUGUUCCUUUCCAAAUAUGCUUUAGGAUUAUUUACUUUUCUUUCCAUUCUAGUGCUGGAAUGCAGACUUUUUGAGGUUACUGCCACUGACAAAUGCCGAUUAUGUUCUUUAUUGCGAGAUUUCUGAAGCUUCUGGGCAAGACCAAUGAAGCAGAAGAGUUAUUCUUGAGUGUUGAGAACAUGUUAGUGCAGGCAGAGUGCUGAACAACCUGGCGAAGUCAGCAUCUAAGGAGUACUUAAAAGAAAAUCAUAUUCUGCAGUGUGCUACUGAAAUGUCCAGCUUACUGUACAGCAACACCUGUGACCAGGCUACCAUGAAAUACGCUGAAGGUGUUCUGAUAUCUGCUGCCAGAAACGCUUCUCUUGCAAAAAUGAAAUUUCAAGAUUGCUUAAAUAUCAGGAGAAGUUUGGUGAGAAAAACACCCUAGUUGGAGAAAUUAUGGAAUUUUUAGCGGAUUUACUGUUUUUCCCACUGAGACAUAGUGAAAGAUUCAAAGGAAGCAAGCAAUUGAAUAUUAUAAACAAGUGAUAAAAAUAAAGGAAAAUGCAGGCACUCUGGCCAACUCCUUGCUCAUCAGGAAGCAGG